rnacentral:rRNA from 1 species
UACGGAGGGUGCGAGCGUUAAUCGGAAUUACUGGGCGUAAAGCGCGCGUAGGCGGUUUGAUAAGUCUGAUGUGAAAGCCCUGGGCUUAACCUGGGAACCGCAUUGGAUACUGUCAGACUCGAGUGUGGUAGAGGGUAGUGGAAUUUCCGGUGUAGCAGUGAAAUGCGUAGAGAUCGGAAGGAACACCAGUGGCGAAGGCGGCUACCUGGACCAACACUGACGCUGAGGUGCGAAAGCGUGGGGAGCAAACAGG